GGUGGCUCAGUGGUAAGAGCACUUGCCUUGCAUGCCUGAGGCCCUGGGUUCAAUUCCUCAGCACCA
rnacentral:tRNA from 1 species